UAUUAAAAAAUGUGGUACUUUGC
rnacentral:piRNA from 1 species